ensembl:rRNA 5S_rRNA 5S ribosomal RNA
GUCUAUAGACAUAUCACCCUGAACAUGCCCGAUCUUGUCUGAUCUCAUAAGCUAAGCAGGGAAAGAAAAAGGAACCCAGGCAGUGGUGGUAUGCACCUUUAAUCCUAGCUU